AGCCUUCUGUAUCCGUGAUGAGAUUUCGUCAGCGACCAAGCCGCUGGCGUUGGCUGAUGCAACUCUUCAAAUAAGAGAAGUG
rnacentral:pre_miRNA from 1 species